rnacentral:tRNA from 1 species
GCCAGUGUGGUGUAGUGGUUUGACUGCUGGACUGCAACUCUGGAGAUCAGGGUUUGAUUCCCCACUCAGCCA